rnacentral:rRNA from 1 species
CCUACGGGGUGCAGCAGUGGGGAAUAUUGGACAAUGGGCGAAAGCCUGAUCCAGCCAUGCCGCGUGUGUGAAGAAGGCCUUCGGGUUGUAAAGCACUUUCAGUGGGGAAGAAAGCCUUGGGGCUAAUACCCUCGAGGAAGGACAUCACCCACAGAAGAAGCACCGGCUAACUCCGUGCCAGCAGCCGCGGUAAUACGGAGGGUGCGAGCGUUAAUCGGAAUUACUGGGCGUAAAGCGCGCGUAGGCGGUCUGAUAAGCCGGUUGUGAAAGCCCCGGGCUCAACCUGGGAACGGCAUCCGGAACUGGCUGGCUAGAGUGCAGGAGAGGAAGGUAGAAUUCCCGGUGUAGCGGUGAAAUGCGUAGAGAUCGGGAGGAAUACCAGUGGCGAAGGCGGCCUUCUGGACUGACACUGACGCUGAGGUGCGAAAGCGUGGGUAGCAAACAGGAUUAGAUACCCGUGUAGUC